CCUACGGGAGGCAGCAGUGAGGAAUAUUGGUCAAUGGACGCAAGUCUGAACCAGCCAAGUCGCGUGCAGGAUGACGGCCCUCCGGGUUGUAAACUGCUUUUAGUUGGGAAUAAAAGGGGGCUCGUGAGCCCCGUAUUGUAUGUACCAUAUGAAUAAGGAUCGGCUAACUCCGGGCCAGCAGCCGCGGUAAUACGGAGGAUCCGAGCGUUAUCCGGAUUUAUUGGGUUUAAAGGGAGCGUAGGUGGAUUGUUAAGUCAGUUGGGAAAGUUUGCGGCUCAACCGUAAAAUUGCAGUUGAAACUGGCAGUCUAGAGUACAGUAGAGGUGGGCGGAAUUCGUGGUGUAGCGGUGAAAUGCUUAGAUAUCACGAAGAACUCCGAUUGCGAAGGCAGUUCACUGGACUGCAACUGACACUGAGGCUCGAAAGUGUGGGUAUCAAACAGGAUUAGAUACCCCAGUAGUC
rnacentral:rRNA from 1 species